rnacentral:rRNA from 1 species
UACGGAGGGUGCAAGCGUUAUCCGGAUUCACUGGGUUUAAAGGGUGCGUAGGUGGAUCGGUAAGUCCGUGGUGAAAUCCCCGAGCUUAACUCGGGAACUGCCGUGGAUACUAUCGAUCUUGAAUACUGUGGAGGUAAGCGGAAUAUGUCAUGUAGCGGUGAAAUGCUUAGAUAUGACAUAGAACACCGAUAGCGAAGGCAGCUUGCUGGACCUCGUCUGACGCUGAGGCGCGAAAGCCAGGGGAGCAAACGGG